GGGAUGCUCAGAGUGGGAGGGACCUCGGGCUCACCUCCCACGGGACCUGCUAGGGGGGUCACGUGGCACAAAGGACUGGGUGCUUGCCAUGGGGUGCCGGGUCUCCCACCUCCCCUGGCCCAUGGCUUCCUCAGGCUGGUGGAUGAAGGUGUUUUGCGAAGGGAAAGGGCGACCGGGACGGUGCCGGUGGGGGCCAUUUAUGAGUGUUUCCCAUGAGCAGGUGCUGCGGUCAGCCUCUCCCACACGUCCUCCCGUCUAAUCCCCGCAAGCCACCUGCUGGGGGGUUGUUGUUAUCCCCACUUGGCAGGUGAGAGAGCUGAGGCUCAGGGGAGUCCCGGGGCCCCGUUCGGUCAUGGAUCCAGCUAGGAUUGUAAGUGAAAACGGCAGCGACCCUUCCAGUCACUAGGGCGGGGAUGCCCAUGGAGUAGGCUUCAUGGAGAUGCUGUGGCAACAGGUGACAUAAUAAGGUCCCCACAACAACGGUCACCGUCAAGGAGACAGUGGACGACAGGGUGCGGCCGUGUGGAGGCAGGCAAACCUUGUUGCUCCUGUCAUACGUACACUGUUUUGUCUCGUCCUGAUGGCAACCUUGUAACACGCUGGUCACACUGUGGUCAGGACGGUGACGGAGGUGGUGGCUGCUCAAACAGGGUGUCCCCAGUAAACCUGCCCACUGCUGUGUCCAUCUCAGCCUCUGCUCCCUGGGACCCCAACCUUCGUGGGCAUCCAUCACGUGCACGAGGGAGCGUGCCCUCAAGGGAAGAAGGGAGAAGGGGGUACGGAGGGCCGGCAGCGGCCUGCCCCAGGAGGCCGCCGCCAUGGCGGGGUAACCGGGAGGCUGUCACUAGUCGUGGCGAAGCACGGUGGCGAGAGGAGCAGGAGGCCACGGUGGAGCAAGCUGCUCAGACUCCCGGUCCCCGCUCCUCGUGGUCAGCCUGACGCCCGCCCUGGAGGGGCCCCGUCUGCCGCUUCUGCUCGCCGGUUCCAGCCCUAGGCCCCUCCAGUCCUCCCAGAUGCGCGUCCCCGCCCGCUAGUCGAGCCGCGUGGCCCUCCCUGGGGGCUGACACCCAGCCCUCUCACUCCCCACAGCUACAUGUCUGGGCUCAGCGUCAGCUGCGGGGGGGCUCCCCGGUGCAACCCAACCUAGGUCCUCUCGACAACGAUGGUGGAAAGGGUGGCGAAGGGCCUGUUAAUGCCAAUCCUUCUCUUUCUGGCUGAACGCCUCCACUGAGCCUCCGCUUCGGGGGCCAAGGGACAAGAUCACCUGUUUUGUCUUUUCGUACGCUAGCAGGGUGUAGACUUCACUCUUACGCAGACCUGGGUGGUUAAGAAGCAGACCAAGGAUGGAGUAGUGUGGGGAUGAAGUCUGCUGGACGAAGCUGUGCUCCUUCCCAGCCCCCACCGCGACCCCCUUCUUUGGAAAAGGGUGGGCAGGCCUGACCAAGCCCCUGACCUCUGUCACCACAGUCCUGCGGGGCAGA